UACGUAGGGGGCAAGCGUUAUCCGGAUUUACUGGGUGUAAAGGGGGCGCAGACGGCGAUGCAAGCCAGGAGUGAAAGCCCGGGGCCCAACCCCGGGACUGCUCUUGGAACUGCGUGGCUGGAGUGCAGGAGGGGCAGGCGGAAUUCCUGGUGUAGCGGUGAAGUGCGUAGAUAUCAGGAGGAACACCGGUGGCGAAGGCGGCCUGCUGGACUGCAACUGACGUUGAGGCCCGAAAGCGUGGGGAGCAAACAGG
rnacentral:rRNA from 1 species